rnacentral:rRNA from 1 species
GAUGAACGCUGGCGGCGUACCUAAUACAUGCAAGUCGAGCGAACAGACGAGGAGCUUGCUCCUCUGACGUUAGCGGCGGACGGGUGAGUAACACGUGGAUAACCUACCUAUAAGACUGGGAUAACUUCGGGAAACCGGAGCUAAUACCGGAUAAUAUAUUGAACCGCAUGGUUCAAUAGUGAAAGACGGUUUUGCUGUCACUUAUAGAUGGAUCCGCGCCGCAUUAGCUAGUUGGUAAGGUAACGGCUUACCAAGGCGACGAUGCGUAGCCGACCUGAGAGGGUGAUCGGCCACACUGGAACUGAGACACGGUCCAGACUCCUGCGGGAGGCAGCAGUAGGGAAUCGUCCGCAAUGGGCGAAAGCCUGACGGAGCAACGCCGCGUGAGUGAUGAAGGUCUUCGGAUCGUAAAACUCUGUUAUUAGGGAAGAACAAAUGUGUAAGUAACUAUGCACGUCUUGACGGUACCUAAUCAGAAAGCCACGGCUAACUACGUG